rnacentral:tRNA from 1 species
GGGCAUUUGGCAGAGUCUGGUUUAUUGCGCUCGUCUUGAAAACGAGAACUUAACACAAGUCGUGAGUUCAAAUCUUACAGUGCCCG